CGCGUAGGCGGGAUGGCAAGUCGGUCGUGAAAUCCCUCGGCUCAACUGAGGAGCGUCGAUCGAUACUGCUGUUCUUGAGGAUUGCAGAGGGAGACUGGAAUUCCCGGUGUAGCGGUGAAAUGUGUAGAGAUCGGGAGGAACACCGGUGGCGAAGGCGGGUCUCUGGGCCGGUACUGACGCUGAGGAGCGAAAGCGUGGGGAGCAAACA
rnacentral:rRNA from 1 species